rnacentral:rRNA from 1 species
GAUCAUGGCUCAGAGUGAACGCUGGCGGCAGGCCAAAUACAUGCAAGUCGAACGGCAGCACAGGCAGAGCUUGCUCUGUGGGUGGCGAGUGGCGGACGGGUGAGGAAUACGUGGGAAUCUGCCCAGUCGUGGGGGAUAACGUAGGGAAACUUACGCUAAUACCGCAUGCGCCCUUCGGGGGAAAGCCGGGGACCUUCGGGCCUGGCGCGAUUGGAUGAGCCCACGUCGGAUUAGCUAGUUGGCGGGGUAAAGGCCCACCAAGGCGACGAUCCGUAGCUGGUCUGAGAGGAUGAUCAGCCACACUGGAACUGAGACACGGUCCAGACUCCUACGGAAGGCAGCAGUAGGGAAUAUUGGACAAUGGGCGCAAGCCUGAUCCAGCCAUGCCGCGUGAGUGAAGAAGGCCCUCGGGUUGUAAAGCUCUUUUGUCCGGAAAGAAAAGCGCCGGGUUAAUACCCUGGUGUCCUGACGGUACCGGAAGAAUAAGCACCGGCUAACUUCGUG